rnacentral:rRNA from 1 species
AUUGAACGCUGGCGGCAGGCCUAACACAUGCAAGUCGAGCGCGAAAGUUCUUCGGAAUGAGUAAAGCGGCGGACGGGUGAGUAAUACAUGGGAAUCUGCCUGGUAGUGGGGGACAACGUUUCGAAAGGAACGCUAAUACCGCAUACGCCCUACGGGGAAAGGGGGGAGUCUUCGGACCUUUCGCUAUCAGAUGAGCCCAU